UUCAUACUCCCUCCGUCCCAAAAUUCUUGUCUUAGAUUAGUCUAGAUAUGGAUGUAUCUAAUACUAAAACGUAACUUGAUACAUCCAUAUUUAGACAAAUCUAAGACAAGAAUUUUGGGACAGGAGGGUGUAGGAC
rfam:Triticum aestivum genome assembly, contig: Triticum_aestivum_CS42_TGACv1_scaffold_424039_5BS